UACGAAGGGGGCUAGCGUUGCUCGGAAUUACUGGGCGUAAGCGCACGUAGGCGGCUUUCUAAGUCGGGGGUGAAAUCCUGGAGCUCAACUCCAGAACUGCCUUCGAUACUGGAGAGCUUGAGUCCGGGAGAGGUGAGUGGAACUGCGAGUGUAGAGGUGAAAUUCGUAGAUAUUCGCAAGAACACCAGUGGCGAAGGCGGCUCACUGGCCCGGUACUGACGCUGAGGUGCGAAAGCUAGGGGAGCGAACAGG
rnacentral:rRNA from 1 species